UACGUAGGUGGCGAGCGUUGUCCGGAAUUACUGGGUGUAAAGGGCGUGUAGGCGGGAGUGCAAGUCAGAUGUGAAAUACCGUGGCUUAACCACGGGGCUGCAUCUGAAACUGUGUUUCUUGAGUGUCGGAGAGGAAAGUGGAAUUCCCAGUGUAGCGGUGAAAUGCGUAGAUAUUGGGAGGAACACCAGUGGCGAAGGCGACUUUCUGGACGAUAACUGACGCUGAGGCGCGAAAGCGUGGGGAGCAAACAGG
rnacentral:rRNA from 1 species